rnacentral:lncRNA from 1 species
GUCAUUGUCAUUUGAUGACAUUGACAAAAUCUAUAUAAAUAAAAUCAUCGUACAAAUUAAAAAAUAUCAAACAAUAACAAAUAAUUAGUUAAGACACAAUUAUCAGUGAAAUAUCAUUCGGUUUUAGUAAUAAAGAAAUAUUACAACUUUAAACGCUAAAAUAUAACAUGGCAGACGACUUCAUUCCAUUAAAUCAAAGUACUCCUGUACAAGGAAGAUGGCAAAAUAAAAACCAAAAUACUCAAAAUGGGUACCAAAACAAUCGACAACAGAGGAACCAGCGAUGGCGCGGGCAACACAAUCGCUGGCCAAACAAUUCUCAUCAUAGCAAUAGCUUUGGGAGUGACUCCAACAGUAGUUACGGUUGUGAGAGUAGGAGCAACAUAGACGCGUACCUUCACCCUUCGAUGUUGAAAGACCCUUGGGAACAUUUAAGACACAGAAAUCAUUGAUAGUCGAUUAAGUGUUUAUAAAUGUGGAAUGUCAAUAAAAUAACCAUUGUACAGUUA